rnacentral:rRNA from 1 species
AUAUCAAUAAGCGGAGGAAAAGAAACUAACAAGGAUUCCCCUAGUAACUGCGAGUGAAGCGGGAAAAGCUCAAAUUUAAAAUCUGGCGGUCUCCGGCCGUCCGAGUUGUAAUCUAGAGAAGUGUUAUCCGCGCUGGACCGUGUACAAGUCUCCUGGAAUGGAGCGUCAUAGAGGGUGAGAAUCCCGUCUUUGACAUGGACCACCAGUGCUGAUGGUGCGCUCUCGAAGAGUCGGGUUGUUUGGGAUUGCAGCCCAAAUUAGGUGGUAGAUUUCAUCUAAAGCUAAAUAUCUCGGAGAGACCGAUAGCGCACAAGUA